AUUGAACGCUGGCGGCAUGCCUUACACAUGCAAGUCGAACGGCAGCACGGGAGCAAUCCUGGUGGCGAGUGGCGAACGGGUGAGUAAUAUAUCGGAACGUGCCCAGUCGUGGGGGAUAACGUAGCGAAAGUUACGCUAAUACCGCAUACGAUCUAUGGAUGAAAGCGGGGGAUCGCAAGACCUCGCGCGAUUGGAGCGGCCGAUAUCAGAUUAGGUAGUUGGUGGGGUAAAGGCUCACCAAGCCGACGAUCUGUAGCUGGUCUGAGAGAACGACCAGCCACACUGGGACUGAGACACGGCCCAGACUCCUACGGGAGGCAGCAGUGGGGAAUUUUGGACAAUGGGCGCAAGCCUGAUCCAGCAAUGCCGCGUGCAGGAAGAAGG
rnacentral:rRNA from 1 species